UCGGGUAUGGUGUAGCGGUAACAUCGGUGACUCUCACUCACCAGCCCGGGGUUCGACUCCCCGUAUCCGAG
rnacentral:tRNA from 2 species